UACGAAGGUGGCAAGCGUUGUUCGGAUUUACUGGGCGUACAGGGAGCGUAGGCGGUUGGAUAAGCCCUCCGUGAAAUCUCCAGGCUUAACCUGGAAAGUGCAGAGGGGACUGUUCAGCUAGAGGAUGGGAGAGGAGCGCGGAAUUCCCGGUGUAGCGGUGUAAUGCGUAGAGAUCGGGAGGAAGGCCGGUGGCGAAGGCGGCGCUCUGGAACAUUUCUGACGCUGAGGCUCGAAAGCGUGGGGAGCAAACAGG
rnacentral:rRNA from 1 species